GCGAAAAGAGUCAAUAAACUUUCCGUCUACAAAAAAGGCCAUAAACACACACAGGCUGCAAAUUGCCACCACUCUUCUCCUAGAGACAGAUGACUUGACAAACAUCUGUCAUUUCUGCGGGGAAGAAGAGCAUGAAACUGAAAACAAAUGGAUUCAGUGUGAGAUGUGUUUGCGGUGGUUCCACCAGCUCUGCGUGAAAAGCCCACCACCAGAAGAUGUGUUUAUUUGUUUCGCUUGUACAUAGUUGACACUACAGGUCCACAGCUAGUGUUCUUACGGCACACAUUGUCGAGAACACAUAUCUACAUAUAUAGAUGUAGAUGUUAAAUUAAGAAGUCUAAAAAAAACCAAAUGGUCUCCAAAGUUACUGUAGUUAUUAGUUAUACUGUUAUUUAUUUUGCAAAUAAACUCUUUCGUGAUAGCAACGCCAAGGUGCAUUAUUGAUGGGGGGGGCACACAUUUUGGCAGCCGAUGCCACACAGCCUGAUAAAAUCUGUAUCCCUCCAUAACUUUUGCUGUGAAUAAGACAUCUUCUCCAAAGUUACUGUACUUAUUGAUUAUACUGUGACUUAUUUGGCAAAUAUACCCUUUGUAGUAACAAAGCCAAUAUGGAUUACAGAUGGGGGGGCACACAUUUUGGCAGCCGAUGCCACACAGCCUGAUAAAAUCUGUAUCCCUCCAUAACUUUUGCUGUGAAUAAGACAUCUUCUCCAAAGUUACUGUACUUAUUGAUUAUACUGUGACUUAUUUGGCAAAUAUACCCUUUGUAGUAACAAAGCCAAUAUGGAUUACAAAUGGGGGGGGCACACAUUUUGGCAGCCGAUGCCACACAGCCUGAUAAAAUC